UUGCCAUUCCACCCACAUGCUAUGGCAAACAUUAACGUCUUCUUGCAACAUCAACAAUUGUUGCCAUUCUACCUGCAGGCUGUGGCAAACAUUGCCUUCUUACAACAACAACAACAAUUGCUACCAUUUAGCCAACUAGCUCUAACGAAUCCUACCACCUUAUUGCAGCAGCCCAUCAUUGAUGGUGCCAUCUUCUAGAUUUUUUUUUAUAAUUUAUACUGUAAUAAUAAAGUUCUUGUGCUGAUAUGUGCGACCUCUCAGUAAUCCAUAAAACAUCUCUAGUAUUGUCCUUUGUCCAUUUUUAUUUGAUCAAA